rnacentral:rRNA from 1 species
AGAGUUUGAUCAUGGCUCAGAUUGAACGCUGGCGGAAUGCUUUACACAUGCAAGUCGAGCGGCAGCGCGGGGCAACCUGGCGGCGAGCGGCGAACGGGUGAGUAAUACAUCGGAACAUGUCCAUUCGUGGGGGAUAGCCCGGCGAAAGCCGGAUUAAUACCGCAUACGCCCGAGAGGGGAAAGCGGGGGACUUCGCAAGAGGCCUCGCGCGAUUGGGUUGGCCGAUGUCCGAUUAGCUAGUUGGCGAGGUAAAGGCUCACCAAGGCGAUGAUCGGUAGCUGGUCUGAGAGGAUGAUCAGCCACACUGGGACUGAGACACGGCCCAGACUCCUACGGGAGGCAGCAGUGGGGAAUUUUGGACAAUGGGGGCAACCCUGAUCCAGCCAUUCCGCGUGAGUGAAGAAGGCCUUCGGGUUGUAAAGCUCUUUUGUCCGGAACGAAACGGGUAGCGUGAAUAUCGCUGCCUACUGACGGUACCGGAAGAAUAAGCACCGGCUAACUACGUGCCAGCAGCCGCGGUAAUACGUAGGGUGCGAGCGUUAAUCGGAAUUACUGGGCGUAAAGGGUGCGCAGGCGGUUUUGUAAGCCAGAUGUGAAAUCCCCGGGCUUAACCUGGGAAUGGCAUUUGGGACUGCAAGGCUAGAGUGUGGCAGAGGAGACUGGAAUUCCUGGUGUAGCAGUGAAAUGCGUAGAUAUCAGGAGGAAUACCGAUGGCGAAGGCAGGUCUCUGGGUUAACACUGACGCUCAUGCACGAAAGCGUGGGGAGCAAACAGGAUUAGAUACCCUGUAGUCCACGCCCUAAACGAUGUCGACUGGUUGUUGGGGGUUUGACACUCUCAGUAACGAAGCUAACGCGUGAAGUCGACCGCCUGGGGAGUACGGCCGCAAGGUUAAAACUCAAAGGAAUUGACGG